CAGCAGUCACAGGAGCAACCGGGUUCAAGGGGAGGGGAAAUACACCCUACAUUUUGCGGGGCAGCGUGCACGUACAGGGAUAAAGCGGCCUGGUCGCAGCCAUUUUGGGAACUUGAACUUCUCGUGCCCUCUGCAAGAAGGCUCCUAACCCCCAGGCUGUAAGAUUCUGUUCAGGUGCACCUCCACUCCUCAGUCAUCUCCUCCAAGAGCAUUUCUCUGACCACUGUACUCCAAGAUUUACGAUAUGCUGAAUUUCUGCAAAGACACGAAUUCUUUUUCACGGUAAAAACAGAGUUAAUUUUCACAAAAAGACUUAUGUUGGUAUGCCGUAUGAAAUGUCAGUCGGUCCACUGCUGCAGGCAUGUGGCAGGUUGUAUUCUCUGGGUCUGUGUAGAAAACCGCUUAAGAAUUUCGCAGUUUGUGAGUUUGAGCCCCGCGUCAGGUUCUGUGCUGACAGCUCAGAGCCUGGAGCCUGCUUCAGAUUUGUGUCUCCCCCUUUCUCUGUCCCUCCCCUGCUCAUGC